rnacentral:tRNA from 1 species
GAGGGUAUGGCUCAGUGGUAGAGUGCAUGCCUAGCAAGCAAGAGGUCCUGGGUUAAAUCCUCAGUGCCUCA